rnacentral:lncRNA from 1 species
AGAGACAGCAGACAGAAGCAGGGACGACAGACACAGUCCGGAGGGCUGUAAGCUAGGGGUGGUGGGAUCAGGUUUCUGAAACUUCCUCCACUGCCGUGUGGAUGCAAGGCAGAAGCUGGCCCAGGAGGGUCACUUAGAAGGCCACCUCUUAAAACAGAGAUGAGCAAAGACAACGGCUGACCUGGGGCAGGGGAAUUAGGGGUGGGGGAAGGGGAGAGGAGAUGCUGCCUGGGCUGGGGGCUGUCUUUCAUGAGGCAGCCAGAGGAGCCAAGGAUGGCCUCUGAAUGGGAGGCUGGGGCUGAGUCCAGCCAUCCCAGGACCUCCGGUGUGUGACUCCUGGACAUACCAGUCUUUGCCAUCCUAGCCCAGGCUGUCCCCACAUCCAAAGCUCCCCCUGUGGUCCCACCCCUGCUGCCCUUCAGAGCUGCGACCAUGGCCCUCAGGCCUGUCCACCGCCCUCGGCAACAUCAUGGCUAACCUGGGCUCCACACAUUUCUUCCAUCAGCAGACAGUGCCCCUCCGGGGGAAGCUCUGAGACCCAGCACCUAUCGGGAAAAACUCAAAGGUCCAGGCGCUGAAUCUAAGCCAGGCACGUUCUUCAUUUGUGUAUUAUCUACGGCCCAGUUCUUGCUGCAGCAGCGGAAUCGAGAAGCUGCGGGAGAGACCCCGCAGCCUGCAAAGCUGAAAAUAUUUACUUCCUGGCCAUUCACAGAAAAUGUUUGCCAACCCAUGACCUAAAGCAUCAUCUCUCAGAGGGUUGGGAAGGAACCUGGAAGCUGUCCCAUUCAGAGGCGGGAGCUUCAACGGGACCCUGCGUCUUCUGCCUCCAAGGCCUGUGGUAGGGGCUGUCACAGGCUGCAGAGGAGUCCAGGAGGGAGAUGCUACAGAAAUUAUCUUGCCUGUGCAUGGUGCGAGGGUCUGGAACAUACAUUUAACCAAGGCAAGGAGCGAAGUGAGAGGAAGCAAUAUUGUGGAUUGCAGGAGGUGAUGGAUGAGAUGAGAGAAGAAUCUGCAUGGUCAGAAUCUGUUUGGCAUCGGAAGGGAAGUACCCAGGAAAUUUGAGGAUCGCCUCGUCCAGUUGUCUGUGGAACUGAACUGUGAGUUGUCCAUGAGGGAUGAAUGGCAAUGCCAAUGUUUCCAGAGUUUCUGUCAUGAGGUCUCCUGGCUUGGAGAUGGAGAGGGCACACACAGGUUUCGGAUUCAAGCCUGCAGGACAGUCCUGGCUGCACCACUCAGGAACCCUGGGUGAGUCUCUUUACCCCUCACAGCCUCAGUUUUCCCUUCCUGGAAAUGGGACCACAAUCCAAACCUUGUAGAACUGCUUCAAAGAUGAAAGGAGACAUCGCAUGUGAGAUGCCGGCCCAUAGGAGCCAGGGCACGAAAGGCAGCUCCGCAUUGGGUCCCCAAAAAGUCUCCGCAGGUUGGCAGCCAAGAGAGCUACCAUUUCUUUGUUUGGAGAGAUUCCACUCCCUGGAAAGGGUAAUCCUGCAGGAAAGGAGGAGGGAGUCGUUCCAGAGUUUGGGAGAUGUCGGCUUUGACUCUGAGUGAUGCCGCCUCAAACACUUACUGUCAUACAGGAAGUUACUCAAACACAAUCAAUUAGACACCCAUAUUAGCAUAUUUGUCAUUGUAAUACAGCCGCAGAGAGGAGAUGCUGGAGACUGUUUAUUGCUGUUCUGAGCUAAUAUUUAUUAAAGUGAUUAAUAUGUUUUUCAAAUAUCUGUGACAGGCGUGGCAGGAAUUACUGAUCUCCUCCCUCGAGAGCCUGAAAGGGUGAGGGGUGGGAGUCACUUAGAGAGGGGCGGCAGGUAGGGGCCUUGGGGCCUCAGGGGACCGUGUCCUCCUCUGGGGCCCCUUUCCUGCUCGGGCCUCCUGCCUUCCAUCUUCCCCUGUCUCCUCCACCUUCAACUUCCCCUGUCUCCUCUCCUCCACCUUCAACUUCCCCCUCUACUGACCGUUCCCAUCGGCAUUCUGAGACAUCUCCCACCAUGACAAAUAGAGACCUCCCAGGAUGCCCUGUCCCCCUGCUCCUUCCUGGACCCCCUCAUCCCCAGCCAUUCUGCCAUCUUCCUCCUUCCCUCCAUAGCCAAACUCUUCAAAAGAACUCUUUUCCCUCCCUACCUCCUUUGCUCAUCUUCCAGUCUCUGCUUUUUAAAAAUCAUUACAAAAAAUUAAAAGUGGCUGGGCGCGGUGGCUCACACCUGUAAUCCCAGUACUUUUGGAGGCCAAGGCGGGAGGGAAUAACCUGAGGUCAGGAGUUCGAGACCAGCCUGGCCAACAUGGUGAAACCCUGUCUCUAUUAAAAAUACAAAAAUUAGCAGGGUGUGGUAGCUGGUGCCUGUAAUCCCAGCUACUCAGGAGGC